GGACCUGAUAAAAGAAGCACACAACAAUGGCAAUCCAUUACCAGAAUAUAAUAAUGCAGCACAGGUCUGGAAUGAACCAUCACUUCUUCUGGGAAUCAAUGCAACCAGAAGGUGGCGGCUUACCAUCAGAUAGAAAAGGAUUUUGGCCCGUUUACUAAUUUCAGGGAAGACUUUAUUUCCUAAGCCUUACAACUAUUGGGGUCUGGUUGGGUUUGGCUUGUCUUGAGGAGAAAUGAGAGAAAGCUUUCAGUAGUUCAUACACGAAAUGCCAUCUCCCCUCUUGCUUUUGGCGAUAUUCCAAUUGCCAGCCUAGACUUAUGGGAGGUAAGGACAUUGACUCCAAGUUUUUAGAUCCUACUUUGUGCCAUAUACUGACAUUUGUCCUUUUCUGUUCACCUCUCUUUUUGUGUACUUGUUCGGCAAAUUAGUUCUAAAAAAUUU